GAUGAACGCUGGCGGCAUGCCUAAUACAUGCAAGUCGAGCGAACGGACGAGAAGCUUGCUUCUCUGAUGUUAGCGGCGGACGGGUGAGUAACACGUGGAUAACCUACCUAUAAGACUGGGAUAACUUCGGGAAACCGGAGCUAAUACCGGAUAAUAUUAUGAACCGCAUGGUUCAAAAGUGAAAGACGGUCUUGCUGUCACUUAUAGAUGGAUCCGCGCUGCAUUAGCUAGUUGGUAAGGUAACGGCUUACCAAGGCAACGAUGCAUAGCCGACCUGAGAGGGUGAUCGGCCACACUGGAACUGAGACACGGUCCAGACUCCUACGGGAGGCAGCAGUAGGGAAUCUUCCGCAAUGGGCGAAAGCCUGACGGAGCAACGCCGCGUGAGUGAUGAAGGUCUUCGGAUCGUAAAACUCUGUUAUUAGGGAAGAACAUAUGUGUAAGUAACUGUGCACAUCUUGACGGUACCUAAUCAGAAAGCCACGGCUAACUACGUG
rnacentral:rRNA from 1 species